AUGGCCUCUCCGCCGGCCCCUCCACCUCUCCCGGCGCGGCCUCUCUUUACCGCGGCUGAGUUCAACGCCGCCAGAUCGCCAUCCUUCUCUUCUUCCCCCUCCAACCCUAGUUCUCUUACCCACCACCAAUACACCCUUCCGCCACCACAAAUCUCUCUAGCAGAUACAAUUGCCGAUGUUGCGCCGUUCAUACCCAUCUCGCUUGAUCUCGCUGCCCACAAUUACUACCACUGGCGCCAUCUCUUCCACAUCCACCUUGGUCGAUGCGGUCUACGCCACCAUAUACAUCCAUACUCUGUCCCGCAGCCUGCCAAUCCUCGUUGGGUGAAGGACGAUCUCACGAUCAUCCAAUGGAUUUAUACUCGGAUCUCAACCGAGCUCUUCAAUCUUGUCUCCAACGACGAUGCCACCGCAGCCGAGCUUUGGGCCUCUCUUCAACAGUUGUUUCAAGACAACUCCGACGCCCGCAUCAACGCUCUCCACACCGAGCUCCGCACCAUCACCCAAGGAGACUCCCCGGUCACCGUCUUCUGCCAGCGGAUCAAGUCGAUCGGUGAUGAACUCCGGCAGCUUGGUGAUCACGUCGACGACCGUGUCCUCAUAAACGCUCUUCUCGUCGGCCUCGGUGAGCAGUUUGAGAAACAGGUGGCCUUCAUCCCCAUGUUGCGGCCCUACCCUUCCUUCGGCUAG
rnacentral:rRNA from 1 species